rnacentral:rRNA from 1 species
CUACGGGACGCUCCAGUGAGGAAUAUUGCACAAUGGGGGGAACCCUGAUGCAGCAACGCCGCGUGGAGGAUGACGCAUUUCGGUGUGUAAACUCCUUUUAUAUGUCAAGAAAAUGACGGUAGCAUAUGAAUAAGCACCGGCUAACUCCGUGCCAGCAGCCGCGGUAAUACGGAGGGUGCAAGCGUUAUUCGGAAUCACUGGGCGUAAAGGACGCGUAGGCGGGUUAUCAAGUCAGGUGUGAAAUCCUAUGGCUUAACCAUAGAACUGCACUUGAAACUGGUAACCUAGAGUAUGGGAGGGGCAGAUGGAAUUAGUGGUGUAGGGGUAAAAUCCGUAGAUAUCACUAGGAAUACCGAAAGCGAAGGCGAUCUGCUGGAACAUAACUGACGCUAAGGCGUGAAAGCGUGGGGAGCAAACAGGAUUAGAUACCCCUGUAGUC